rnacentral:rRNA from 1 species
GACCUCAAAUCAGGUAGGACUACCCGCUGAACUUAAGCAUAUCAAUAAGCGGAGGAAAAGAAACUAACAAGGAUUCCCCUAGUAACUGCGAGUGAAGAGGGAAGAGCUCAAAUUUAAAAUCUGUCAGUCUUUGGCUGACCGAGUUGUAAAUUAGAGAAGUGCUAUCAGCGCUGGCCUGUGCAAAAGUCUCUUGGAAAAGAGCAUCAUAGAGGGUGACAAUCCCGUCUUUGGUACAGAGCUCCAGGGCUACAUGAUGUGCUCUCGAUGAGUCGAGUUGUUUGGGAAUGCAGCUCUAAAUGGGUGGUAAAUUCCAUCUAAAGCUAAAUAUUGGCGAGAAACCGAUAGCGCACAAGUACCGUGAGGGAAAGAUGAAAAGAACUUUGAAAAGAGAGUUAAACAGUACGUGAAAUUGUUGAAAGGGAAACGC